rnacentral:rRNA from 1 species
GAUGAACGCUAGCUGGAGGCUUAAUACAUGCAAGUCGAGCGGGAUUGGUAGCAAUACCAUGAGAGCGGCGCACGGGUGAGUAACGCGUACACGACCUACCUCUGACAGGGGGAUAGCCCUGGGAAACUGGGAUUAAUACCCGCAUAUUAUUCUGAUUAAUAAAGGAUUGGAAUGAAAGCUGAGGCGGUCAGAGAUGGGUGUGCGUCUGAUUAGCUAGUUGGUAGGUAACGGCCUACCAAGGCGAUGAUCAGUAGGGGGCGUGAGAGCGUGGUCCCCCACACGGGUACUGAGACACGGACCCGACUCCUACGGGAGCAGCAGUAAGGAAUAUUGGUCAAUGGGCGAAAGCCUGAACCAGCCAUCCAGCGUGCAGGAAGAAGGCCCUAU